rnacentral:tRNA from 1 species
AGGAGUAUAGCUCAAUUGGUAGAGCACCGGUCUCCAAAACCGGGGGUUGGGGGUUCAAGUCCUCUUGCUCCUGCCA